rnacentral:sRNA from 1 species
UGUGUUCGGGGUCCGCGUGUUGAGUG